GUAAUCUUAAUCUUGCAUAAAGAAUUGGAACUAAACUAAACCUAAAUUAAUUUUCUCAUUUGUGCAGCCGUCGCCCCCCCACCCCUCGCUUCUUCUCGUCUUCAGUUCUCUCCUGACUCUUUCUCAAAAUCUUUCGACCCUAACCUCCUCCAUCCUCCUUCUUCGCCGCCGGACCUCCUCCAUGCUUCUUCCGCUCUCAUGUUGCUCUCUGAACCUCCUCCUUUGCCAGAUCUGAUCUUGACAUUGCAAUGGUGUUGAUGUAUCAAUUGUUUGAUCCAAAUAUAUCAGGAGAUCACAUUUUUUGAAAAAUUUUUUUGUUUCGUUUGCAGCAAUGUUGAAGCGGCGAAGCCAGUCACAGGCUUGGCAUGGAUUUCAAAACUAUCGGCUGUCAGUUCUGGUUACUUGCUUGAUUUUGAUUCUCCUGUUCUUAAUUUUCAAUAAUAGCAAUAAAAUACAAGUUUCACUUGUACCCACAGUGCAGAAAUGGAAUAGUUUUGAGUCAGUGCAGCUUCGUCCAACUAUAGAGUUUAGAAAUGAUACAGAUGUGAUAUGGCAAAUACCUGAUUCAGCCAAAGCAGUUCUCUUCUUGGCUCACGGAUGCGAUGGCAGAGCUGUUAAUUUCUGGGACAGAUCUCCCAGCUGUCCCAAUUGCAUUGGUUUGCCUGAGGAAAGGCUACUUGUUCUUCAUGCUCUGGUUCGCAAAUUUGCUGUUGUUUCCAUAUCAAGCAUGGGUAAAUGCUGGACAUUUGGGGAGGAAAUGUUGAUUGUUAAGAAUAUUAUAAGAUGGUGGUUACGGAGGAAUAAACUUGAAAAGCUUCCGCUCGUUGCUCUGGGGGCCUCUUCUGGUGGUUACUUUGUUUCCGCACUUGCCACCAUUUUGAGAUUUAGCAGCAUUACAAUAAUGAUUGCUGAAGGGAAGUUUGAUCAAAUGGAUGUCACAGGGAGCUAUCCGCCAACUCUUUUUGUUCACAUGCCCAAUGAUUUAUACAGACAGCAAAAGAUAAGUGAAUUUAUCCAAGUUCUAAAGAAUAAAGGCAUUGAUGUUGCUGAGGUUGAGUGCAUUGAGUUCCCACUAUCUCCAUUUUUCUUAGCGGAUAGAAUUCCAGGAAUUAAUCAAACUGUUUCUGCUAAGUUGUUUGAACUAUUUGGGGAAAAGGGCUUUAUUGAUAAAAAGGGAUAUAUGAAAAACGAUGGGCGUGCAACACGUUGGAAAGAUGCUCUUCGUAAAACUAAGGAAAUUGUGCUGGAUAAGAAUUUGGUUCCACAUGUGCAGGAGGAACUAAAUCUUGCAUUUGCAUACCAUGAAAUGACCAGCUUGCAGUCUGACCAGAUAUUUAAAUGGUUUGAAUCUCACAUGAAGUAACUAAGACAAAAUGUCCUCCUGAGUGCAAUGAGACAGGAAGAAGGAUGAUGUUAAACUGGGCAGAGAAAUUCUCUUUUGUAUAAGCUGUUCGCCAAGUUUCUUAAUGGAAGCUAUUUGCAAAGGUUGAAUUUUCUUCAAAGCAGCACUACAAAUUAAUGGCUUUAAUGGAGGGUGGUGGUUCUUUUCUCUCCAAAUGCUAAGACAUUUAAGUUUGUAAAAUGGGAUGCAAAUGUGUGGCUACCAAAACAGAGAUGCUUAUUUAAUGCUAUUGUUGUGCAAAAUUGGCAUGAAAGUUUUAUCAAUUCUUACAGCUGAAAUGCAAAUAUGCAUCGGUUAUCCUCAAAAUCUUAGGAUUUGGCCGUUGUCAAGAGGAAACCAGGAUUCCAACUUUAGAUAAUUUUAUAUAUGAACCAGCCUAGAACUGUUUUCUCUUUUAGAUAUAAAUCAAGGGGAUGCAAUUUUCACCAGAAGCAGGGGAAAAGGAGGUGGUUUCCUGAAGUUUUGCACACCUAAUUAGCCGAGUCUUUUCUGGAAGUUGUGUUGAUAUGUAUAAAAAGAUAUGACCAAUAGAGUAUGGACUAUGGCUCCCUUGUGAUCUUUCAGAUCAGAAGUGAUGACCUGAUCUUAAAUCCGAAGAAUGGAUGGGUAAGCAUUGAAUAUAUAUGUGCAGAGCCUGUUUGCAUUUACUGAUA